GGUUCGAUGGCGUAGUUGGUUAUCGCAUCUGUCUAACAUUUGAAGUAUACACAGAAGGUCCCCGGUUCGAGCCCGGGUCGAAUCA